rnacentral:rRNA from 1 species
GCAGUGGGGAAUUUUUGGACAAUGGGCGCAAGCCUGAUCCAGCCAUUCCGCGUGCAGGAUGAAGGCCUUCGGGUUGUAAACUGCUUUUGUACGGAACGAAACGGUUCUCUCUAAUACAGGGGGCUAAUGACGGUACCGUAAGAAUAAGCACCGGCUAACUACGUGCCAGCAGCCGCGGUAAUACGUAGGGUGCAAGCGUUAAUCGGAAUUACUGGGCGUAAAGCGUGCGCAGGCGGUUUUGUAAGACAGAGGUGAAAUCCCCGGGCUCAACCUGGGAACUGCCUUUGUGACUGCAAGGCUGGAGUGCGGCAGAGGGGGAUGGAAUUCCGCGUGUAGCAGUGAAAUGCGUAGAUAUGCGGAGGAACACCGAUGGCGAAGGCAAAUCCCCCCUUGGGGCCCUGCACUGACGCUCAUGCACGAAAGCGUGGGGAGCAAACAGGAUUAGAUACCCUGGU